rnacentral:rRNA from 1 species
UACGUAUGGUGCAAGCGUUAUCCGGAUUUACUGCGCGUAAAGGGAGCGCAGGCGGCGCGCCAAGUCUGAUGUGAAACCCCGGGGCUCAACCCCGGGCAUGCAUUGGAAACUGGCGGGCUGGAGUGCCGGAGAGGUAAGCGGAAUUCCUAGUGUAGCGGUGAAAUGCGUAGAUAUUAGGAGGAACACCAGUGGCGAAGGCGGCUUACUGGACGGCAACUGACGCUGAGGCUCGAAAGCGUGGGGAGCAAACAGG